CCCUCCCCAUAUAUGGCCAUGAACAAGCCUGAUCCUGUCUGAUCUCGGAAGCUAAGCAGGGUCGGGCCUGGUUAGUACUUGGAGGGGAGCCCACCUAGGAAGACCAGGUCCUGUAGGCG
rfam:Pteropus alecto contig25338, whole genome shotgun sequence.